rnacentral:rRNA from 1 species
GAUGAACGCUGGCGGCGUGCCUAAUACAUGCAAGUCGAGCGAACAGACGAGGAGCUUGCUCCUCUGACGUUAGCGGCGGACGGGUGAGUAACACGUGGAUAACCUGCCUAUAAGACUGGGAUAACUUCGGGAAACCGGAGCUAAUACCGGAUAAUAUAUUGAACCGCAUGGUUCAAUAGUGAAAGACGGUUUUGCUGUCACUUAUAGAUGGAUCCGCGCCGCAUUAGCUAGUUGGUAAGGUAACGGCUUACCAAGGCAACGAUGCGUAGCCGACCUGAGAGGGUGAUCGGCCACACUGGAACUGAGACACGGUCCAGACUCCUACGGGAGGCAGCAGUAGGGAAUCUUCCGCAAAGGGCGAAAGCCUGACGGAGCAACGCCGCGUGAGUGAUGAAGGUCUUCGGAUCGUAAAACUCUGUUAUUAGGGAAGAACAAAUGUGUAAGUAACUAUGCACGUCUUGACGGUACCUAAUCAGAAAGCCACGGCCAACUACGUG